UAGUGGCGAACGGGUGAGUAACACGUGGGCAAUCUGCCCUUCACUCUGGGACAAGCCCUGGAAACGGGGUCUAAUACCGGAUACCACUCCUGCCUGCAUGGGCGGGGGUUGAAAGCUCCGGCGGUGAAGGAUGAGCCCGCGGCCUAUCAGCUUGUUGGUGGGGUAAUGGCCCACCAAGGCGACGACGGGUAGCCGGCCUGAGAGGGCGACCGGCCACACUGGGACUGAGACACGGCCCAGACUCCUACGGGAGGCAGCAGUGGGGAAUAUUGCACAAUGGGCGAAAGCCUGAUGCAGCGACGCCGCGUGAGGGAUGACGGCCUUCGGGUUGUAAACCUCUUUCAGCAGGGAAGAAGCGAAAGUGACGGUACCUGCAGAAGAAGCGCCGGCUAACUACGUGCCAGCAGCCGCGGUAAUACGUAGGGCGCAAGCGUUGUCCGGAAUUAUUGGGCGUAAAGAGCUCGUAGGCGGCUUGUCACGUCGGAUGUGAAAGCCCGAGGCUUAACCUCGGGUCUGCAUUCGAUACGGGCUAGCUAGAGUGUGGUAGGGGAGAUCGGAAUUCCU
rnacentral:rRNA from 1 species